GCCGCCGCCUCCCGGCUCGACUCGGUUCCUCCCCGUGUGGCUUUUACAACCGCGAUUACUCAGCCGGAUACGGGAGACUUUCCGCUGCGUUUUGCUUUCCUCCAAACCAGCCCCUGCAAACCCCCACGGGCUUGUCGCUUGGGGCCGGGUCCCUCUGCUGUUUGUUUUCUCGCAGACCCCUCCGGGCCUCACCGCGCAGCCAGGCUCCUAAUUGUGGUUCUGGCAUCAGAGCCGUUGCUAUGGGGACCUCAGCAAUUCGGCAUUUUGAUGACGGUUGAGUGGGGAAUGAAUGUGAAGCAGGGAGGAAGGUCCUCUCUCCCAUGGCUGCUGGGAGCAACAGAUGGGUUCAAGUUGAGGAAACCCCUAGAAUAGGGCUUGGUGCACAGUAAGAAUCACAGGUAUGUUUGCUGCAGUCACUGCUGACUGGGUCCCUACUUGUGCCUUUGCGGGAGCCACCCCUCCCUGGGAGCCUCCCUCCAGCAGGAAUCUGCACCGCACAGCAGGUGGGCUGGAGACUUUGAUUCUCCCAGCCCCCGGGGAGCCUGGAGCUCUGUACUUGCACCCCCAGCUGUGGGCAACUUCCUUUGUUUACCCUGAUGCACCAUUCCAAUGAUCUCAUUUCAUGGUGUUCAUGGAAAAACUUCACUGGUCCGUGGUGAGAUGAGAAGAACGAGGCCAAGCUGAAAACAUUUUUGGAGACUUUAAUAACUGUGGAAGGAUGCUGUAAGGUGGGCAGGGAAAUCGAUCAUUUUUAUUCGGUUGUGCACGAUAAAAUGGACACGGACUUCAAGAAUGCUUCAUGGACUCUUUCCCAGAUGCCGCUGCAGCCUGCCUUGGCCACAGCAUGGCAUUAGACACGGCCAGUGGCUCCGUGCUGGCUCCGGAACUCGGCUUUGGGUGCCAGAUGGGGACACUGACGCUUAACAGAGAUCAGGAACUUGCCUGUGGUUGCACACAAUAAUUGGAGGAGCCAGAAGCCCCCGGAAGUGGGUUCUCAGCACCACUGGAUACAUGAAGAUGGGAAACCCUCUGGGACGGUCCCAGGUUCUCGAAAUACUCUGCACCCGUUAGCUCGUGCCUUCCCCACAGAACUCCUUGCGAGGGAGUGACUUGCAUUCUCUUCAUCAUGCACAUGAGGAAAGUGAGACCGAGACCAGCACCGUGUCCAAGUUCUCACAUCGGCUUUUCCUUUAGACUGCUGAAUCCCACAAGAAUCUGAAUUACAACCUCCAUGUGACGAGGGUUAUUUAAAACCAGAAUGAAGCAUCCGUGCACGGUAAGAGGUACGGGAAAGCAUUCCAGGCUGACUGAGGGUGGAGGAGGAAAAAGGCGUGGUGUGUUCAAGGAACAGAAAGGCAACGGAUGUGGCUGGAGAGGAGCGAGGGAGCGUGGUUUGCGAUGAGCUGGACAGACAGCUCGCGUGCUGCUUUGUAAGGGCACUGUGAGGAGUUGGAAAUGUAUUCUAAGAGCAGUGGAAAUAAAAUACAUA